rnacentral:rRNA from 1 species
AGAGUUUGAUCCUGGCUCAGAUUGAACGCUGGCGGCAGGCCUAACACAUGCAAGUCGAGCGGUAGAGAGAAGCUUGCUUCUCUUGAGAGCGGCGGACGGGUGAGUAAUGCCUAGGAAUCUGCCUGGUAGUGGGGGAUAACGUUCGGAAACGGACGCUAAUACCGCAUACGUCCUACGGGAGAAAGCAGGGGACCUUCGGGCCUUGCGCUAUCAGAUGAGCCUAGGUCGGAUUAGCUAGUUGGUGUGGUAAUGGCUCACCAAGGCGACGAUCCGUAACUGGUCUGAGAGGAUGAUCAGUCACACUGGAACUGAGACACGGUCCAGACUCCUACGGGAGGCAGCAGUGGGGAAUAUUGGACAAUGGGCGAAAGCCUGAUCCAGCCAUGCCGCGUGUGUGAAGAAGGUCUUCGGAUUGUAAAGCACUUUAAGUUGGGAGGAAGGGUUGUAGAUUAAUACUCUGCAAUUUUGACGUUACCGACAGAAUAAGCACCGGCUAACUCUGUGCCAGCAGCCGCGGUAAUACAGAGGGUGCAAGCGUUAAUCGGAAUUACUGGGCGUAAAGCGCGCGUAGGUGGUUUGUUAAGUUGGAUGUGAAAUCCCCGGGCUCAACCUGGGAACUGCAUUCAAAACUGACUGACUAGAGUAUGGUAGAGGGUGGUGGAAUUUCCUGUGUAGCGGUGAAAUGCGUAGAUAUAGGAAGGAACACCAGUGGCGAAGGCGACCACCUGGACUAAUACUGACACUGAGGUGCGAAAGCGUGGGGAGCAAACAGGAUUAGAUACCCUGGUAGUCC